rnacentral:rRNA from 1 species
UCUGGCCUAACACUGACGCUGAGGUGCGAAAGCAUGGGGAGCAAACAGGAUUAGAUACCCUGGUAGUCCAUGCCGUAAACGAUGUCUACUAGCCGUUGGGGCCUUUGAGGCUUUAGUGGCGCAGCUAACGCGAUAAGUAGACCGCCUGGGGAGUACGGUCGCAAGACUAAAACUCAAAUGAAUUGACGGGGGCCCGCACAAGCGGUGGAGCAUGUGGUUUAAUUCGAUGCAACGCGAAGAACCUUACCUGGCCUUGACAUAGUAGAAACUUUCCAGAGAUGGAUUGGUGCCUUCGGGAAUCUACAUACAGGUGCUGCAUGGCUGUCGUCAGCUCGUGUCGUGAGAUGUUGGGUUAAGUCCCGCAACGAGCGCAACCCUUUUCCUUACUUGCCAGCAUUUCGGAUGGGAACUUUAAGGAUACUGCCAGUGACAAACUGGAGGAAGGCGGGGACGACGUCAAGUCAUCAUGGCCCUUACGGCCAGGGCUACACACGUGCUACAAUGGUCGGUACAAAGGGUUGCUACCUAGCGAUAGGAUGCUAAUCUCAAAAAGCCGAUCGUAGUCCGGAUUG